CGUAGGGUGCAAGCGUUAUCCGGAUUUACUGGGCGUAAAGAGCGCGUAGGCGGAUCGUUAAGUGUAGAGUGAAAUCUCCAGGGCUCAACCCGGAACUGCUCUGCAUACUGGCGAUCUUGAGGGGCACAGAGGCAACUGGAAUUCCUGGUGAAGCGGUGAAAUGCGUAGAUAUCAGGAGGAACUCCCAUGGCGAAGGCAGGUUGCUGGGUGCCAUCUGACGCUGAGGCGCGAAAGCGUGGGUAGCAAACAGGAUU
rnacentral:rRNA from 1 species